AUUUAACAAAUGAGUAAGCAAAAAUUAUUUUUAUUAACAUAAUAUAAAAACUGUUAACUAAUUAUGGAGAGAAAAAAGAGGAAAGUGCAGAUAUAUAAAAUGAUCUUUUCGUUUUGAAGUCAACAUUCAAUGCAACAUGGGAACAAUGGAGGCAUUCUGUUUUCUGGGGCUUAGUACCCAGGACAAGCAGAUCCAAAUUCCUACAGAUUAGAGAAAAACUCAAGACAGAGCCAUUAGUGGGUUUAUAGCUUCUUUAUUCACAGUGGCAGUGAGAAAUGCACAAGGACAAGCCAUGUGCCUCCAAAGGCAGUGGGGUUACAGGAGGUAUCUGCCUUUGUGGACAUGGCAGUGGUGGGAUGCAAACACACACACACACAAACUACACACACACAAACUACACACACACACAUCCACAAGCAACCAUACCUAAUCCUGACCCCUAGUUGCUUAUAUGACUUACAGAUAAUAGGGGCCCAAAGUAAAACAUUAAAAAAAUAUACCUGUGAGCUCCUGGCCAAGCAGGUGGACCUGUCAGUUACCAUGACACCAGUUGCCAUGGAGAGACAGAUAUAUAGGAGUACAAGCAUAGCGGGGCAUGGGCAAAAGGCAUGGGAACUUGAGAACUUCAUCUUUCCGAGUUCAUCUUCUCAACGUAUUAUAACUCAGGAGUGUAGAAGAGACAAAGUUUACUUGACAUGCAAGACUUGUCUGGAAGCCUCCAUGGAAAAAACUGUAUGCCAGAGUCACCCAAAAUUGAAAAAGAAGAAGUCAUUUAUAUGCUCAGAUCUCUCUCCUUUCUUACUGGCCAGAGGACAUCCCAAGAGUUGUCACUCUCCUGACAUUUCAAGAUUUUGCCAUACAUCAUCUAAUGCUGUUGCCCAGGAAGCCAGAUACAGUGUCUUGGGAUGAAUAUUUUUAUUGCAGACUGAUAAUGAAAUUGCAAACUAGAGGUAGGACGUUAACAAAAGUGAACAGAUAAAGGAGGCUCACAUUACAAAAGUUUCCCAGCAUACCAAAUUCUUCCCUGUAUUAAUUUUCUCCUUGUUGUUUACCCUACCUAGAACUUAAGACCCAUAAGCCAGGGAUGAGGUAGGAAGUCUAUUUUCAGUUCCUAUUUUAUGAGAGCAGUUUAAAAACAAAGUGGAAAAAACUUGAAUUAAAAGAUGUUUAUUUGGUUCGAAAAGUUUUGAAGUCUAGGUGCGAGAAUUGUCUUAAAAAUCAUUGGAAAUUUAAAUUGCAAAGGAAACUAUGAUUGCUUUGUAUGUUUUUUGCAUAUGUGUCUUUCCAAUUUUCACACGAACAUUCUGAAGUACCCUCAUAUAUGUAGUGCUCAAUAAAUAGUUGUUGAAAGAAUGAAGUACUUCA
rnacentral:lncRNA from 1 species